rnacentral:tRNA from 1 species
GCCAGCGUAGCUUACUCAAAGCAUAACACUGAAGAUGUUAAGACGGGCUUUAAUAAAGCCUCGCAAGCA